ACUCCUACGGAGGCAGCAGUGGGGAAUAUUGGACAAUGGGCGCAAGCCUGAUCCAGCCAUGCCGCGUGAGUGAUGAAGGCCCUAGGGUUGUAAAGCUCUUUCACCGGUGAAGAUAAUGACGGUAACCGGAGAAGAAGCCCCGGCUAACUUCGUGCCAGCAGCCGCGGUAAUACGAAGGGGGCUAGCGUUGUUCGGAUUUACUGGGCGUAAAGCGCACGUAGGCGGACUAUUAAGUCAGGGGUGAAAUCCCGGGGCUCAACCCCGGAACUGCCUUUGAUACUGGUAGUCUUGAGUUCGAGAGAGGUGAGUGGAAUUCCGAGUGUAGAGGUGAAAUUCGUAGAUAUUCGGAGGAACACCAGUGGCGAAGGCGGCUCACUGGCUCGAUACUGACGCUGAGGUGCGAAAGCGUGGGGAGCAAACAGGAUUAGAUACCCCUGUAGUCCCAUGA
rnacentral:rRNA from 1 species